rnacentral:rRNA from 1 species
GACGAACCUUGCUAACGUUAUUCGGAAUUACUGGGCUUAAAGGGUGCGUAGGCGGUGCGGAAAGUCGGGUGUGAAAUCCCCCAGCUCAACUGGGGAAUUGCGCCUGAAACUACCGUGCUCGAGGAAGACAGAGGUACGCGGAACUUAGGGUGGAGCGGUGAAAUGCGUUGAUAUCCUAAGGAACACCGGUGGCGAAAGCGGCGUGCUGGACCUUUACUGACGCUGAUGCGCGAAAGCCAGGGGAGCGAACGGG